rnacentral:rRNA from 1 species
UAAGGUUAAGUUAAUAAGGGCGCACGGUGGAUGCCUUGGCACUAGAAGCCGAUGAAGGACGUGACUAACGACGAAAUGCUUUGGGGAGCUGUAAGUGAGCAAUGAUCCAGAGAUGUCCGAAUGGGGGAACCCGGCAGGUAAUGCCUGUCACUCAUUACUGUUAAGGUAAUGUAGAGGAAGACGCAGUGAACUGAAACAUCUAAGUAGCUGUAGGAAGAGAAAGCAAAAGCGAUUGCCUUAGUAGCGGCGAGCGAAACGGCAAGAGGGCAAACCGAAGAGUUUACUCUUCGGGGUUGUAGGACUGCAACGUGGACUUAAAGAUUAUAGAAGAACUACCUGGGAAGGUAGGCCAAAGAGAGUAAUAGCCUCGUAUUCGAAAUAGUCUUUAUACCUAGCAGUAUCCUGAGUACGGCGAGACACGAGAAAUCUCGUCGGAAUCUGGGAGGACCAUCUCCCAACCCUAAAUACUCUCUAGUGACCGAUAGUGAACCAGUACCGUGAGGGAAAGGUGAAAAGCACCCCGGGAGGGGAGUGAAAUAGAACCUGAAACCGUGUGCCUACAACAAGUUCGAGCCCGUUAAUGGGUGAGAGCGUGCCUUUUGUAGAAUGAACCGGCGAGUUACGAUAUGAUGCGAGGUUAAGUUGAAGAGACGGAGCCGUAGGGAAACCGAGUCUUAAUAGGGCGCAUUAGUAUCAUGUCGUAGACCCGAAACCAUGUGACCUACCCAUGAGCAGGUUGAAGGUGAGGUAAAACUCACUGGAGGACCGAACCAGGGCACGUUGAAAAGUGCUUGGAUGACUUGUGGGUAGCGGAGAAAUUCCAAACGAACUUGGAGAUAGCUGGUUCUCUCCGAAAUAGCUUUAGGGCUAGCGUCGAUGUUAAGUCUCUUGGAGGUAGAGCACUGUUUGGGUGAGGGGUCCAUCCCGGAUUACCAAUCUCAGAUAAACUCCGAAUGCCAAUGAGAUAUAAUCGGCAGUCAGACUGCGAGUGCUAAGAUCCGUAGUCGAAAGGGAAACAGCCCAGACCACCAGCUAAGGUCCCAAAAUAUAUGUUAAGUGGAAAAGGAUGUGGGGUUGCACAGACAACUAGGAUGUUAGCUUAGAAGCAGCUAUUCAUUCAAAGAGUGCGUAAUAGCUCACUAGUCGAGUGACCCUGCGCCGAAAAUGUACCGGGGCUAAAACAUAUUACCGAAGCUGUGGAUACCUUUAUAGGUAUGGUAGGAGAGCGUUCUAUGUGCGAAGAAGGUGUACCGUGAGGAGUGCUGGAGCGCAUAGAAGUGAGAAUGCCGGUAUGAGUAGCGAAAGACAGGUGAGAAUCCUGUCCACCGUAAGACUAAGGUUUCCAGGGGAAGGCUCGUCCGCCCUGGGUUAGUCGGGACCUAAGGAGAGACCGAAAGGUGUAUCCGAUGGACAACAGGUUGAUAUUCCUGUACUAGAGUAUAUAGUGAUGGAGGGACGCAGUAGGCUAACUAAACCAGACGAUUGGAAGUGUCUGGCCAAGCAGUGAGGUUGAUAUGAGUCAAAUGCUUAUAUCUUUAACAUUGAGCUGUGAUGGGGAGCGAAGUUUAGUAGCGAAGUUAGUGAUGUCACACUGCCGAGAAAAGCUUCUAGCGUUAAUUAUACUCUACCCGUACCGCAAACCGACACAGGUAGUCGAGGCGAGUAGCCUCAGGUGAGCGAGAGAACUCUCGUUAAGGAACUCGGCAAAAUGGCCCCGUAACUUCGGGAGAAGGGGCGCUGACUGAUGGUCAGCCGCAGUGAAUAGGCCCAAGCAACUGUUUAUCAAAAACACAGCUCUCUGCUAAAUCGUAAGAUGAUGUAUAGGGGGUGACGCCUGCCCGGUGCUGGAAGGUUAAGAGGAGUGCUUAGCGUAAGCGAAGGCAUGAAUUGAAGCCCCAGUAAACGGCGGCCGUAACUAUAACGGUCCUAAGGUAGCGAAAUUCCUUGUCGGGUAAGUUCCGACCCGCACGAAAGGCGUAAUGAUUUGGGCACUGUCUCAACGAGAGACUCGGUGAAAUUUUAGUACCUGUGAAGAUGCAGGUUACCCGCGACAGGACGGAAAGACCCCAUGGAGCUUUACUGCAGUUUGAUAUUGAGUAUCUGUACCACAUGUACAGGAUAGGUAGGAGCCUAUGACCUCGGGACGCCAGUUUCGAGUGAGGCGUUGUUGGGAUACUACCCUUGUGUUAUGGCUACUCUAACCCAGAUAGGUUAUCCCUAUCGGAGACAGUGUCUGACGGGCAGNNNNNNNNNGCUCGAGUUGUAGCUCUCGCAGUCAAGCUCCCUUAUACCUUUACACUCUGCGAAUGAUUUCCAACCAUUCUGAGGGAACCUUUGGGCGCCUCCGUUACCUUUUAGGAGGCGACCGCCCCAGUCAAACUGCCCGUCAGACACUGUCUCAACGAGAGACUCGGUGAAAUUUUAGUACCUGUGAAGAUGCAGGUUACCCGCGACAGGACGGAAAGACCCCAUGGAGCUUUACUGCAGUUUGAUAUUGAGU